GUUGGUGAACCAGCGGAGGGAUCAUUACCGAGUUGCAAGACUCCAAACCAUUGUGUUCUUGAAUUAUAUGUUGCCUCGGCAGGCCGCCCCAGGGCGGGGUGCCUACAAGGCCUGCCGAAAGCACCCCUAAAACUCUUCUGAAACGUGUCUUCUGAAGUUACUAAGAAAUAAUCAAAACUUUCAACAACGGAUCUCUUGGUUCUG
rnacentral:misc_RNA from 1 species